CUGCUUGCUUCAGCACAUAUACUAAAAUCGGAAUGAUACAGAGAUUAGCGUGGCCCUGUGCAAGGAUGACAUGCAGAUUCAUGAAGUGUUCUAUAGUUUU
ensembl:snRNA U6 U6 spliceosomal RNA